CAAAUAGCACUGAUGGCUUUUAUUGCAGAUUUGUGUCAUUACAAGGAUAAUCUGGGAAUAUAUUAAAAAAAAAACACCCUCCCUUUUAUAUACAUAAAACAUGCUACAUGGUACACUUUGUGAGAAAUGCUGAGGUAAUAGGCAUGCACCCAGACAUGGACAGUACCAAACGUCCAACAUCUCGCACACCCUGACCCAUGUGCCCACCGGGGAAUGUCACUCCUUCUUGAUUCAUCUCUUGCUCCUUGCUUGGCAACAGUCCUGAUGGUACUGAGUCUGACACUGUGUGGUCAAUAGGACUUAAAGCCACCAUACUGUAAUGCACCAGCCAAGGGUUGCAGUGGCCCCUGAUUAUUCAGUAACUCACGAGAAGUGGCCAGUUCUCAUGUUGUGGCACGUGCUCUCAUGUUGUGGCACCUGCUCUCCAGGGAAGUGUAGUUUGGGGAUGAGAUGCAGACCCUAGUUGGCCCGAGAACAUGGGACCUUUGGUUUGUAUCCAUUUGGGGGCCCUGACUAUCUGAUGAUGACUUCUCUUCAAUUGAAUAUCUCCUGACAAUGUAGGUUAUUAUUUGUGUGAAGGUUAAAAUGACAUGUAGGCUAAAGUAUGAAUGGAAGAUACAAAACUGCAAAUACAUUAUCUAUGUGGCCAGUGUAGUUUUUGGCCUGGCCUUCCCUUUCCUGACCAGAAACCUGGAGCCCAGACUGUUUCCUACUCAGAGGCUCAGGAAUCUUGCCUAGACAGUUUGGUGCAACAGAAAAGGAAAGAAGUGGUAGGCAAGGGGCAGAGCAGGUGCUUUGAACUGCAGUGAGAGGCCGGGGCCCAGAUACGCAGAAGGCACUUAAUGAAUGCUGAUGAAUGAAUAAGUGGGUGGAUGCAUGGUGAGAAGUCCUGAGAAUGGGGGAAGGUAUAAAAAUGGAGAGGGAGAGGGAUUUUGAAAUUUGAUGAGGUGCCCAAAGGGGUUCUUAAGCGAGGAAGCUGGGAACCUCUGUGUGAGAGAUUAGCAUUGUAGACAUUCCUGGAAGAAUCCAGGCACACAGAUGCCAAGUAUUAUUCUUUGAAUUGAGGCUACACGGUCUGCAAUCUGCCCUUAGACUCAAGUAACACAGCAUUAAUGAAACACCUUUCUCCUACGAGCAAAGCUGUUGGUAACAGCUUCAACA